UGUACCUUUGCAGCCGCUUUGGAAAAGGGAAUGCCGUGAAAAUCGGCAACAGUACCCGCUGCUGUAUGCCCGACGUAACGGUCUGUCAAUCAAGCCACUGUCGAGAGAUGGGAAGGCGACAGACUCGGGCGAGUCAGAAGACCUUGCCAGG
rnacentral:ncRNA from 1 species